rnacentral:lncRNA from 12 species
AUGAUUUCUACACAUCAUUCCUACCAACUUUGAAUUUUGUGGAUGUGGGAAUGGAGGAGGUUUUAAAAGAUAAUUUAGACUAAGAAGUUACUGUAAUCAUCUUAUUCUUUUCUUUCCUGAACAUUUUUCAGCAGACACAAAAGGGCCUGGUGUACUCCUCUGCUUGCCCAAGACAAAAGGGAGCAAAGAAUGCUACUCGUGUUGGUUACGGAGGAAUUUGAUCCUUCUGAAUAUAUGCCUUGAACCUGAUGCCACAGGGCUAAGUCUGAACUUAGAAAGAUCAGAGCUGUUCAUCUAUCCACUUGCCUAGAAUGGUCUCCAGAGGUCUCUGGGCACAAUCAACUCCAGUGGGCAUAGUGUGGUAUCAUAGUUUCUAUCAAGGACUUCACUGGUAUCACUUGAGCCUUCCAGGUAUGAAAGUUUCUCUGUGAUAUGUGAUAUAAGAUGCCCAUCUUACCCAGUGUUACAGGAAUACCCAUGGGUCCCAAUAUUGUACAGAAUUUUAGUGACAAAGCUGUUUCAGAUUUUACCUACAGCUACUCUGUUCCUUAAAGGCUUUAGAUCUGAGACCAGUAAGAACUGGGCCAGAUGACAUAUCCUAGAGCUAGUU